ACGGAUACGGGUUGUGAGAGCAAUAACCCGGAGAUGAUAUCUGACACACGAUAUCAGGCCCUACGGGGCGCAGCAGGCGCGAAAACUUCGCACUGCGCGAAAGCGCGACGAGGGAAUCCCAAGUGUAUGCACGUAAGUGUAUACUGUUUCUCUGUCUAAAAAGCACAGAGAGUAAGAGCUGGGUAAGACGGGUGCCAGCCGCCGCGGUAAUACCUGCAGCUCAAGUGGUGAUCGUUAUUAUUGGGCCUAAAACGUCCGUAGCCGGUCUUGUAAAUGCCUGGGUAAAUCGUAUGGCUUAACCAUACGAAUUCCGGGUAGACUGUUAGACUUGAGACCGGGAGAAGCUACAGGUACUCCUGGGGU
rnacentral:rRNA from 1 species